UACGUAGGUGGCAAGCGUUGUCCGGAUUUAUUGGGCGUAAAGAGCUCGUAGGCGGCCCUCCACGUCGGAUGUGAAAGCUCAGGGCUCAACCCUGGGAUGCCAUUCGAUACGGGAAGGCUAGAGGUAGGUAGGGGAAAGUGGAAUUCCUGGUGUAGCGGUGAAAUGCGCAGAUAUCAGGAGGAACACCGGUGGCGAAGGCGGCUUUCUGGGCCUUACCUGACGCUGAGGAGCGAAAGCUGGGGGAGCGAACAGG
rnacentral:rRNA from 1 species